rfam:Balearica pavonina gibbericeps contig9314, whole genome shotgun sequence.
UAAUACAUGAUGACUUCCACGUUUAGCUUCUCUGGUGAACAGAACAGCAUGAGAGACUUUUCCAGAGUUAUUUUCAUCAAGUAAAUGUAA